GUGGGUAUAGCGCAGCUGGUUAGCGUGUCAGAUUGUGACUCUGAAGGUCGUGGGUUCAAAUCCCACUACUCACCCCA
rnacentral:tRNA from 1 species